GAGAGAGAGAGAGAGAGAGAGAGAGAGAGAGAGAGAAAUACAGCAUUCAGUAGUAUUUGAAUGAGAGAUGAAUGAAUGAAUGAAUGAAUGAAUAAAUACAACACUCACAGUAGGAUUUUAUUUAUAAGUAAGUAAAUGUGUGUGUGUGGAUGUGUGCAGGUGAGGUGGGUGGGUGCUGCUGAGAACUGCCCCCUAGGGUACCUGCUUUUAACCUCUGAGCCUCUUGCCAGCUUCUCACAGAAGGUUUUUUGUUUGUUUUCUUUUGUGUUUUCUGGGUUUUUUUUUGUUUUAAUUAAAUGAAGUUUUACGUCAGUCUUGCCUCUUGGAAACUUCUUUUACAAUGGAUCUUUUGUCUUACGCUGACCUGUUGGUACUUUGGGGUUUGAUGGGAUGCCUCUCUGGUCCUCUCUGCAUCUUUUAUUCCUGGUGCUUUUCUAUGUUGCGCUAGCUAACAUGGCCACCGAGGAGAAGAGGGAGGGAGUGAAUUGGCUCCUUGGGCCUCACUCUGAACUCCACCUGCUGUGUUUUUCUGCCCACAGAAAAAGCACAGACGCCUCGGCAAGAUAUUUAAAGCUCUUAAAACCUGUUCCUGCCCUGAGACUACAGGUGCAUUUCUGCUUCACACUGGUUCCCAAAUUGUGAGUUAUAUUUUGGUUCUGAAGUUUUUCAAGUUUAUUCUAAAACUACCUUUUGAAUGAACGUCUGCAUUACAGGCCCGCUCUUCUCCCACGGUUCUGUUAAGAACUCGGUGUAAAUGGCAGGCUACCUAGAGACAGGCUGUGGUUGAUGUUGACGAUGCUGUGUCUGUUUCACGACAGCCGUGUGUGCCCAGGGGCCCGAGUGAGCAGUAGAGAUCAGUGUGGUGUGAGCUGCACAGAGAGAGAGGAUGGCAAGGACUGAGCUGCACAGAGAGAGGGGACAGCAAGGACUGGAGGGAAGGAACGCUCUGAAGAGUGGAGCUGGAUCUGGAGUGUCCUCAAGAUGGUGUGGGGUUCGCUGAAGGGGACUUCAUUCCUGUUGGCCGCUAUGCCUACAGCUUCGGGUUCUAUUCUGCGUUGGCUGUUAGCAGCAGCAUCCCCUCCCCUCCUUAAGGAAAGGACUCGUUCUGUAGCUCUGGCUUGCUUGAAACUCGCUAUGCACACUAACUUGGUCUAGAAGGCACAGAGAUCUUCCUGCUUCUGCCUCCUGAGUAGUGGAUUGAAGGCAUGGACCACCAUGCCCAGCAAGAGUCUUUUUCUUGACUGUCCACAAAUUAGACCUCCUUAAAAUUCAUUGCUUAGAAAGAUAUGGAGGAUUCUAAUUGUAGACCUAGGCAAUUCUUUUUUCUUUUUAAUUUUAAUUUUUUUAAAUUUUAUUUUGUGAUUUUUCAAAACAGGGUUGCUCUGUGUAGCCAUGGCUGUUCUGGACCUGGCUCUGUAGACCAGGCUGGCUUCAAACCCAGAUAUCUAUGUACCUUUGCUUCCCUAGUGCUGGGAUUAAAGGUGUGCACCACCACUGCCUGCCUGGUAAUUCUAAUAAUAAUAAUAAUAAUAAUAAUAAUAAUAAUAAUAAUAAAGACAUACAAGGAGCCUUUCAGCAUUAUUAUUUGCAAAAAAAGCUGAAUGCUCACUAGUGACAACACAAAGAAUGAGAAAACAAACCCAAAAUAGUAGUUAAUAUUGGUGGCCUGUAUAUUGGAUGGGCCUAGCAUAUGUAAAAAGCAAACACAUGAAUCAAUAAGAAAAACACAGAUAAUCCAAUAUCAUUUCACAAAAUAGGAAACCUAAAUGACUAACAAAUGCCAUAAGAGAUUGAGGCCUUAUUGACAGUCAAGCACAUGAAAAUUAAAGACAUAUCAUUACAUGUUGUCUGGAUUGGCAGACACUUAAAAAUCAGAUAUUACUAUGUGUUGGUCUUGAAUGUGGCUGGUAGGAGUAUAACUUGGCACAAUUAUGCUGGAGAAGUUUAUAGUCUAAUCAAGUUCAACAGGCAAAUCACUUACAACUCAGCAUUCUCACUGUAAAUGGAUAGGCAAAAAACACUCUUACUGUGCCUCAGGAAGCAUUGACGGGGCUUGUUGAGUACACCACCUCCCGAAUGCUAAGGUUAGACUUAAGGUUGAUACGUUUUGCUCUGUCUGUGUAUUGGAUACUGUGUGGAGAGGGAGAGCUAAUGGAUCUGGGAGGGUGUGGAGAACAGCAUUGCCCUGUGGAAGCACCAAGGGCCCUUAAGCUCCAUCUGUAGGUCAGGAAAAUGGCAGCCCCUAGGCUGGAGGGAUGAUGGAACAGUUUGUUCUGUGCUGAGGAGGCCUGUACUAAGGUCUCCGUGUUUACUGAACCCAAUAGAGUGCAUGGGUGGGUGAAUCUCAGGAACACACUGUUGAGU
rnacentral:lncRNA from 1 species